GAGUGCUUGAAAUCGGUAGGAGGAACCCGGAUGGGCCCGGCUUCGGCGCGCCGACUCAGCCUGGGGUUCUCCCCAGGUGCACUUCUGCGCGCCGGGUCAGCCGCGCCUCGGCGCCGCGCCUCAACCCGGGAGCGGGGCUUUACGGCCAGCUCCCGUCCUGGCGCGGCCCGGGGCCCGGCUGACGGAACGGGCCCCUCCGACCCGUCUAGAAACACGGACCAAGGAGUCUGACACGUGUGCGAGUACCCGGGUGGCAAGCCCGCGUGCGGAAUGAAAGUGAAGGGCAUGCCCUGCCAACCGACCUUGACCUGCUGUGAGGGGUUUGAGUGGAGCACACCUGUCGGGACCCGAAAGAUGGUGAACUAUGCCUGGGUAGGGUGAAGCCAGAGGAAACUCUGGUGGAGGCUCGUAGCGAUACUGACGUGCAAAUCGUUCGUCGAAUCUGGGUAUAGGGGCGAAAGACUAAUCGAACCAUCUAGUAGCUGGUUCCCUCCGAAGUUUCCCUCAGGAUAGCUUGAACGCAACGGUUUUGUCAGGUAAAGCGAAUGAUUAGAGGCCUGUGGGCUGAAACAGCUUGCACCUAUUCUCAAACUUUAAAUGGGCAAGAGGCCCGGGAUGCUUGAGUGAUCCCGGGCGGCGAACGGCGCGUUCAAAGUGGGCCAUUUUUGGUAAGCAGAACUGGCGAUGCGGGAUGAACCGAACGCCGCGCUAAGGUACCCAAGUGUCCGCUCAUCAGAUACCACAAAAGGCGUUGGUACCUCCAGACAGCAGGACGGUGGCCAUGGAAGUCGGAACCCGCUAAGGAGUGUGUAACAACUCACCUGCCGAAGGUACUAGCCCUGAAAAUGGAUGGCGCUCAAGCGGACCACCGAUGCGCGGCCGCCGGCGCGAGCGCGAGGCGCCGGCGAGUAGGAGGGCGCGGGGCUCGCGGCGCAGCCUUGGGCGCGAGCCUGGGUGAAGCGGGCCCCGGUGCAGAUCUUGGUGGUAGUAGCAAAUAUUCAAAUGAGAACUUUGAAGACUGAAGUGGAGAAAGGUUCCGUGUGAACAGCAGUUGGACACGGGUGAGCCGACCCUAAGAGACAGGAAAACUCCGCCGAACGCGGCUGGUUCUGUCAGCCCGUCCGUCGAAAGGGAAUCGGGUUAAUAUUCCCGAGCCAGCGCGUGGAUGGUGGGCGGCGACGCGAACGAACCCGGAGACGCCGGCGGGAGCCCUGGGAAGAGUUCUCUUUUCUUCUUAACUGCCUCCUGCCCUGGAAUCGGUUUAGCCGGAGCGAGGGCUACACGGCAGGCAAAGCACCCUAAGUCUUGGGGUGUCCGGCGCGCUCCCGACGGCCCGUGAAAAUCCGGGGGAGCGGUUCGUUCUCACGCCUGGUCGUACUCAUAACCGCAUCAGGUCUCCAAGGUGAACAGCCUCUAGUCGAUAGAGCAAUGUAGGUAAGGGAAGUCGGCAAAAUGGUUCCGCAACCUCGGGAGAAGGAAUGGCUCUGAAGGCUGGGCGCAGGGGUCCUAGGCUCGAGGCCGGCUGGCUGCGCGGGGACUACGGCCUCACGGCUGCGGAUCCCGCGCGGCCGUCCGGCGGACGGCCUAGGAGCGCUCCGGCUCUCCCUGCGCGACGAACAGCCGCUUCAGAACUGGCGCGGACAAGGGGAAUCCGACUGUUUAAUUAAAACAAAGCAUUGCGAUGGCCCGCGAGGGUGCUGACGCAAUGUGAUUUCUGCCCAGUGCUCUGAAUGUCAAAGUGAAGAAAUUCAACCAAGCGCGGGUAAACGGCGGGGAGUACUAUGACUCUCUUAAGGUAGCCAAAUGCCUCGUCAUCCAAUUAGUGACGCGCAUGAAUGGAUUCGUGAGAUUCCCACUGUCCCUAUCUACUGUCUUAGCGAAACCCCAGCCAAGGGAACGGGCGUUGGAAGAAUCAGCGGGGGAAAGAAGACCCUGUUGAGCUCGACUCUAGUCUGUUACUGUGGAACGACUUGAUGGGUGUAGAAUAUGCGGGAGGGGCAACCCGACAGUGAAAUACCGCAACCGUCAACGUUGUUUUACUUACUCGGUGGCGCGGAGGGAGGCUCGCCUCACUUCUGGAUCCAAGCCGCUUCGUGCGCGCGAUCCGCGUCGGGGACACUAACAGGUGGGGAGUUUGGCUGGGGCGGCACGUCUGUUAAAAAAUAACGCAGGCGCCCGAUUUUGAGCUCAAUGAGAACAGAAAUCUCAUGUGGACCGAAAGGGGAAAAGCUCGGUUGAUUUUGAUUUUCAGUACGAAUACAAACCGCGAAAGCGUGGCCUAUCGAUCCUCUCGUCUUUGGGAAUUUCAAGCUAGAGGUGUCAGAAAAGUUACCACAGGGAUAACUGGCUUGUGGCUGCCAAGCGUUCAUAGCGACGUAGCUUUUUGAUCCUUCGAUGUCGGCUCUUCCUAUCACUGCCUCGCAGCGGGGGCCAAAUGCAGGAUUGUUCACCCACCAACAGGGAACGUGAGCUGGGUUUAGACCGUCGUGAGACAGGUUAGUUUUACCCUACUGCUGUCUGUUUUUCUACGGUAAUUUGGUUCAGUACGAGAGGAACCACCAAUUCGCAUCAUCGGUAUAGCCGCCGCCGGAAACGGCGAUGCGGCGAAGCUGCCAUGCGCCGGAUUAUAACUGAACGCCUCUAAGUUAGAAUCCAUGCCGGAAGGAAAGCCACCUACCGGCCCGGGGACGCCACGAGCAACGGUAGCACUGCCUGAGCCGCGAGCGACCACAAUUCACGGACCCGGGCCGACGAAUCCCUUGCAGACGACUUGAAUAAGGAACGGGGUAUUGUACGCGGCAGAGUGGCCUUGUUGCCACGAUCCGCUGAGAUUCAGCCUUGGUUCUGACGAUUUGU
rnacentral:rRNA from 1 species